UAUUUUGACAGAAAUCUCAAAUGUUAGUGUAUUGGUAGAAGCUCUACGCAAAUCAUUACGUAAAUGUAUCUUAUACACAUUGAUGCCGGGACCGCUUUUCGUAGUGCGAAUUUCCUCUCUAGGUAUAAUUACUCUAAGGUUAUAGCUCAUU